GGAAAAAUUGACCUUGGAGGAAUUUGAACUCAUAGAAAGAAAAACCUGUCUUGGAACAAACUGAAAGACAUCCAUUAGACCUCGCUCUGAUUGCAGAAGAUUAAGGGUUAAGAUACAAAUGCAAAUAGUUAAACAAGGAUAACAUUUAUACUUCUGAUACUGACAAUCCAUAAAUGCUAUUAAAAUGUCAACUAGAUUAUAGAAAAAUCUGCAAUUUGAAGAUUUGAAGAAAAAGAUCUUUGAAACAAGAUCCCUUUUGAUCGGAAUUUUACUUUUUUCUUAUUUUCC
rnacentral:lncRNA from 1 species